rnacentral:rRNA from 1 species
UACGUAGGGAGCAAGCGUUGUUCGGAUUUACUGGGCGUAAAGGGCGCGUAGGCGGCGCGACAAGUCACUUGUGAAAUCUCCGGGCUUAACUCGGAACGGUCAAGUGAAACUGUCAUGCUAGAGUGCAGAAGGGGCAAUCGGAAUUCUUGGUGUAGCGGUGAAAUUCGUAGAUAUCGGGAGGAACACCAGUGGCGAAGGCGGCGAUCUGGGAAGAUACUGACGCUGAGGUGCGAAAGCGUGGGGAGCAAACAGG